CCAAGGUGCAGAGACUGGCUUUUCACAAAUCACAGGGGAAUAGGGCACAUGGAUAAUCCAGCCCAUGCUCUAAAUCAUCUCUCUUGGUUUGGGCCAAGUCAUAGUUCUCGUGGGACCUGCCAAAACAGAAGCUCGCCUUCUCUGGGACGGGUGGGGUAGUAAGAGAUGGGAUUUGUUUAGAACCAUCUCUCACCACGAGGGAAGGCUACAAUGUCCCUGGAAAGAUAUUGUCUGGUUCUGGUACUAAUUCGGCUCCAAUGACCUUGAAAGGUUAAGGGAUUUCUGUAACUCCUCCACUACAUAUAUAAGGGCUGCAACAAUGCGAUUUCAGGACAGCAUCUGUGACCUUCUCGAGCCGGAGCUGAAGAAUCAAGAGCGGGCCCGGGAGGCUUGCCCUCCUUUGCACCCUAGCUGGGUAUCAGUCCACCUGUAAAUUCAUCUUUAAGGGGAUGAACAAUCAAUACGUCCGUCGAGAAGUCUUCUGCUGUGAAACUUGUCAUGAGCUAAAAAGCUUCUGGGAAAAAGAAAUUAGUAAACAGACUUUUUACCGAGAACUGGAGGAAGAUCGUCAGGAAAGAAGUGCCCUGAAAAAACUCAGAGAAGAAUGGAGGCAGAGGCUGGAGAGGAGGCUGAGGAUGCUGGACAACCCUGAAGAGAAGGAAAAGCCCGCAAACACCGCAGACUGAGCGCUGCCUGCCUCACCGACUUCAAAGAUAGCAAGCGACCACGGGCACUUUUCUAGGGGAAAAAAACUAACACCUAAGUUAUGCUGACUUACUAAACAGGACGCUCUCUAUUUGUGCUUCCAUUUGCUAGGGGAUUUACAUGUGAAACCUCCCGCAGUGCUAAUGGGAGUUAUUAUCCUGCUCAAUCCCCUCUGCGCAGAGGACAGGAUGACCGCAAGUGGGAUAGGACGUUCGAGCUAUUUAAUCAAAAAGCUCUUGGAAUUAGCACUCCCCAGGUCUCACAGACCCAUGUAGCCUAGUGUAUUUCCACAUUUCCUUCUCAUUUUGAAAUGUUUCAAGUCUCGAGACGUUUGGAGUGUUUUCUCCAAGCUUACUGAGGGCAAUGACCUUGAGGAAAAUUUGACUUCCCCAGGUCUCCUGGAAAAAGAGUCAUAAAAUCUUGUCCUUCUUUCCCCGCUUUUU